rnacentral:misc_RNA from 1 species
UGGUUCUGGCAUCGAUGAAGAACGCAGCGAAAUGCGAUAAGUAAUGUGAAUUGCAGAAUUCAGUGAAUCAUCGAAUCUUUGAACGCACAUUGCGCCCGCCAGUAUUCUGGCGGGCAUGCCUGUUCGAGCGUCAUUUCAACCCUCAAGCACGCCUCAGUGCCUGGUGUUGGGGAUCAGCCUCCACGGCUGACCCCGAAACUCAUUGGCGGUCUCGCUGUGGCCUUCCAUCGCGCAGUAGCACAAAUCUCGCCCUGGAAAAGCAGCGCGGCCUGCCGUUAAACCCCCCCAAAACUUUAUCAAGGUUGACCUCGAAUCAGGUAGGAAUACCCGCUGA